rnacentral:rRNA from 1 species
AGUUUGAUCCUGGCUCAGGAUGAACGCUAGCGGCAGGCUUAACACAUGCAAGUCGAGGGGUAUCCUAGCAAUAGGAGAGACCGGCGCACGGGUGCGUAACGCGUAUGCAAUCUACCUUAUACAGGGGGAUAGCCCAGAGAAAUUUGGAUUAAUACCCCAUAGUAUAAUUGAAUGGCAUCAUUUAAUUAUUAAAGUUCCAACGGUAUAAGAUGAGCAUGCGUAUCAUUAGCUAGAUGGUAAGGUAACGGCUUACCAUGGCUACGAUGAUUAGGGGUCCUGAGAGGGAGAUCCCCCACACUGGUACUGAGACACGGACCAGACUCCUACGGGAGGCAGCAGUGAGGAAUAUUGGUCAAUGGGCGCAAGCCUGAACCAGCCAUGCCGCGUGCAGGAAGACGCAUCUAUGGUGUGUAAACUGCUUUUAUACAGGAAGAAACCCUAUCUCGUGAGGUAGAUUGACGGUACUGUAGGAAUAAGGAUCGGCUAACUCCGUGCCAGCAGCCGCGGUAAUACGGAGGAUCCAAGCGUUAUCCGGAAUCAUUGGGUUUAAAGGGUCCGUAGGCGGUUUAAUAAGUCAGUGGUGAAAUCCCAUCGCUCAACGGUGGAACGGCCAUUGAUACUGUUAGACUUGAAUUAUUUGGAAGUAACUAGAAUAUGUAGUGUAGCGGUGAAAUGCUUAG